GGGGUUGCAACUCAGAGGUAGAGUGCUCGCUUCGCAUGUGAGAAGACCAGAGUUCAAUCCUCCGAAACUCCA
rfam:Daphnia pulex DAPPTscaffold_267_Cont8061, whole genome shotgun sequence.